rnacentral:rRNA from 1 species
AGUGAACGCUGGCGGUAGGCCUAACACAUGCAAGUCGAACGGCAGCACAGGAGAGCUUGCUCUCUGGGUGGCGAGUGGCGGACGGGUGAGGAAUACAUCGGAAUCUACUUUUUCGUGGGGGAUAACGUAGGGAAACUUACGCUAAUACCGCAUACGACCUACGGGUGAACGCAGGGGACCUUCGGGCCUUGCGCGAUUGAAUGAGCCGAUGUCGGAUUAGCUAGUUGGCGGGGUAAAGGCCCACCAAGGCGCCGAUCCGUAGCUGGUCUGAGAGGAUGAUCAGCCAAACUGGAACUGAGACACGGUCCAGACUCCUACGGGAGGCAGCAGUGGGGAAUAUUGGACAAUGGGCGCAAGCCUGAUCCAGCCAUACCGCGUGGGUGAAGAAGGCCUUCGGGUUGUAAAGCCCUUUUGUUGGGAAAGAAAUCCAGCUGGCUAAUACCCGGUUGGGAUGACGGUACCCAAAGAAUAAGCACCGGCUAACUUCGUGCCAGCCGCCGCGGUAA